GGCGAACGCUGGCGGCGUGCUUAACACAUGCAAGUCGAGCGGUAAGGCCCUUUCGGGGGUACGACGAGCGGCGAACGGGUGAGUAACACGUGGGUGACCUGCCCUCAGCUCUGGGAUAAGCCUGGGAAACGUGGGUCUAAUACCGGAUAUGACUCCAUGACGCAUGUUGUGGGGUGGAAAGCCUUGUGCGGCUGAGGAUGGGCCCGCGGCCUAUCAGCUUGUUGGUGGGGUGAGGCCUACCAAGGCGACGACGGGUAGCCGGCCUGAGAGGGCGACCGGCCACACUGGGACUGAGACACGGCCCAGACUCCUACGGGAGGCAGCAGUGGGGAAUCUUGCGCAAUGGGCGAAAGCCUGACGCAGCGACGCCGCGUGAGGGAUGACGGCCUGG
rnacentral:rRNA from 1 species